CUUUUGUGAAACAUCACAGCAAGAAACAUGGAUGGUGUUCAUGUCACGGCUGGCUGAAGGACUGGACCACAGGAAGUGUCACGGCUGGCUGAAGGACUGGACCAAGGUGCAGCAUGCUACCCUUGCCAUACGAACUGCCGCGACUCCAGGAUCCUGCAGGGUAAAUUCACCGCGUUUGGAGAUACUGAUACCGUGGCUGUUCUUCCAGUAUACCAACAGAAGAAAGGUUUCAACUGUCGCUCUGUUCCAUCUCUGCAAUAUAGCCUAUACUACCUGGUGCUGCUAUUACGAGGGAGGGAAACGAAGGCAAGAGGAGACUAGGCUACACACUGCGACGGGAUUUUGGAUUUCGCAACCAUUGACAACCUUUUGCACACCAAGUGUGUUAUUUUGUCUAUGUCCUGUUUGGGAUAUAUUGUGUUCGUAUUAUCUUAUCUAUAGCAUACGAUUUUUACUUUUUUUUAAAGAGCCUCAUAACUGGUAGUAAUCCAGUAUCUGGGCACUAUUCCCACACCAGAGACCAAUACAGUGAUUAUCACAUAGAACGACACAGGAGCUAUACCUAUCCCGGUUUCACAAUGAGUCAGGGGGAUGUAUCAACUUGCUCAGCGCCUCAGAUCGUAUUCCAAGAGGCGGUGAAGCAAGGCAACACAAAGGAACUCCACUCGUUGCUCCAGAACAUGACAAACUGCGAAUUCAAUGUCAACUCCUUCGGGCCCGAAGGACAGACGGCGUUGCAUCAGUCAGUCAUCGACGGGAAUCUCGAACUUGUAAAACUGCUGGUGAAAUUCGGAGCCGAUAUUCGAUUGGCGAACAGGGAAGGGUGGAGUGCCUUACACAUUGCCGCUUUUGGAGGACACCAAGACAUAGUCCUAUACCUCAUCACUAAGGCAAAGUACUCCUCUGGCGCACGGUGAUCUGCUACACUGCUGUCAGGUAAACACACGGAAAGCCAGGCUUUUGUAAACUUGCGUUUCGAUCUGUACAUAGUUGUUCCAAAUUACAGCCUAAAAACACACAGUAAAUUACCUUUCAUCAAAACCAAAUCCGGGUCUCUGACUCGUGAGUCAAACACCACAUGGUUCUUGUAUCUGCUUCAGCAUGAAUCUUGAACAAAAUAAACGCCAUUUUGGUGGGUUGGUACUAAAGCUUCUUUUAUCUUGAAUGUGUAUAAUAGAUUGGGACAUAUAAAAAUAACUACGCCGGUGUUUGGGUCCCGAGGCCAGACAGCAGCCUAGUUUUACGCGGCGAUGGACGUUCCAUCUUUGUUGUCGCUGUUUCAUUGAAACGCUUCUUUAUUGGUCUUUGUUUUUGAGGUGUCGACCUGUAGCUACGCUGUUCACUUAUAGGACCCUUUUAAAUGAUUUGAUAUACUAAAAAGAUGGCACUUGAUGCUGUGGCUGCAUGCUGGAAUAGCCUAUAAGAAAGGGAAGAAGAGGUGAGCACGGGGAAUGAAUGCCAUCAUCUAUUUGGCUUUUAUAUUUCUUUUUUAAAUUAAAGGAUUUGAUCUAUUUCAAAGUGCGGCAUUAUGAUAUAUCCAAUUUGCUUUUCCAGAUGUGUAUUCAUUGUAACAGCAAUGUACCUAAUGUUGUUAAGUACUGUACACAAUAGCUUUACUUUGUUUCUUUAUAUAUAUAUAUAUAUAUAUAUAUUUAAAAAAGUAGCUAAAUGCGCUCUGCCUUCAUCAAACAGGCUGCUUGGCUGGCAUCAACGUAUUUUCAAGCCAGUGCGACCAGUGUCAAUGGUUAAUGUACUAUUAAACCGCUGCUUUCGCUUUGUAUCAAAACGUCAGGAAAGUCGCAUUUGGAAUUCACUUUAUCUCCUUUCAGUAUUUUAACGAACAACACCCUGGUCAUCACUGUGAAUACAGGCUGGGUUCUAUUUAUGAAGGUACAUUGAGAAGAUGCAUUUUGAAUAUGUUGUGGUUCUUUUUUUUCUCUCCUCUCUCUCAAAUCAAAUCUAUUACGUUUUAAAAUAUUUAGGGUGACCUAUAAAGCUGCUUCGGACUCUCGUAUCGUAGUAUAAACUGUCCCGUGUGGAGAUCCCAUCAUGUCCCAAUUAGCCUAAAUUUGUCUGCGCUGGAGAGACUAUUAUUUUCUCUGAUGAACUUCACGUUUGGUUUUCUUUACCAGCUACCUCGACUGUAAAGUAUUCAAAAGCAUUGGACUCUUGCUCACUCCACAACACUCCAAUAUAGGAAGUCACUCAAAGAUUCCUGUAGCCUAUCCCCAACCUUGUCUAGGCCAACAUAAUGAGCAUACUCACACAGACAUUCAAGUAACAGAUACUUUGGCAGUAGGCCCCAAGGCAAUGUUAUUCAAACCACAGAUUUAGGCUAGGGGACAACUAUGGUAUUUGUUCUGCAAAGCAAUAGUUGCUAUUUACAGUUUCUUUCUCAUCUUCAACGGGGACAAUGUGUUUCCCACACUACUACCAAAUGGUAAUGUGACAAGCAAAGGGGUUUGCCUUUCUGUAAAGGUAUGGUUGCAAACACAUUGCAAAUGUUUUUUUUGUUUUUUUUUUAAAUCGGUGAACGGAUUAUAUCUCAUCCUUUUUAAAGUUUCUAUUUAGUCACGAAAAUGGAAUUUUAUUGCAUAACUUAUAAAUACAGGGAGUUUUAUUGCACAAAAUGCGGAGCUUUUUAACCCCCCCCCCCCUGGUGCUUGUCCGGGUAACUGCAGGAGCUGAGGCUUAGAAUGAGUUACUACUGAGCAGGAGUAUAAACCUAUUAUUAAUCAACAUGACUAUUGCAGGAUAUCAAAAACAAUUGGUUUAAAAAACUGCCUGCUGCAUUUUGAAAGUCAUGUCACCCUAAUAUUUGUUUCUAUGCUGCUUGUAUGUUACUUUUGAAUUUGUGUUUAUUUUUUAUUUUACUCAAAGGCCAACAGUGAGUGAAAGAUAUAUAAAACCCGAUAGCAUCACAGUCAUUUAAUGAGAAGCCUUGUGUGAGAGUGUACAUGUGCACAUGCAUACAUGCAUGCGCACGUGUUCAUGUGUGUGAGUCUGUGUGUGUGUGUGUUGCAUACAUCUGACGGUUGUGUCCUGAGCGAGCUGAGCUGUCCCCCUGCCCAGGCCUGUGUGUGUGUGAGGCCUGCUCCUCUCCUCCUGUGUGUGGCAUUGUGAUGCGACCUUGGUCUGCUCUGCCUACCAUGAGCAGAGGGACAUCAGGGAAUAAGGACUGUCCUUCCAUAUACCUGGAUAAACAAACUAGAGCAAUAGAAAGAAACAUCAAGGGAUAGAUUGGUAUUAGCGGAACAAACAAAUAUGCAUCGCUGGUCUUAAACUUGAUAGUUUUUUUUUAUAUAUAUAUAUAUUUGUUUAAUAUUGCACUGAUGACUGUCGUUGAUUUGGCUUUUUAUCAAGUCAACAUUUCAUUUUGCAUUCUGAAUAGAAAAAAAGGAACACAACAAAAUACUAUUGUAUAAAAAAGGCUCCAGGUUGUAAUGUCUUUUGUUUGUUAACUUGGUGAAUAUUUGGUUUUGCAAAGGUGUUUUGUAUCUCGUGAUCGGGGAUAUAUUAUAAUAUAUUGAGAUAUAUUGA
rnacentral:lncRNA from 1 species